GAUGGGUGGGUGGAUGGAUGGGUGGAUGGAUGGAUGGAUGGAUAGAUAGAUAGAUAAAAGGUCACUUAUUCCAAACAAGCCUCAAGGUAAAACAUAUCAAAUCUACCUUCUGUAUUCCCAUCAAAUCCAACAUCUGCAUCCCCAACUUUAUUGCAGCAGUGUUCACGACAGCAAACAAAAACUAGGAACAAGAAAAAUCCAAAACAACCUAUAUGUUCAUCAGCUAAUCAAUGUGGAAGAACAUCUGGUACAUAUACAACCACAGUGCUAUUCAGCUAUGAAGAAGAUGGGCUCUUAUCACUCAACAAUAUGGAGAUAACAAUUAAACAUGUCAAGUGAAGUCACAUAUAAGGGCAAACACUGCAUGAUUUUACUCCCAGCAGAGAUAGAAUGCUUUUUCUCAUAGAAGCUCAGAGUAGAAUGAUGGUUCCAGAGGCUGAGGGGUGGAGGGGAAUAGGAGAGGUGGAGAGAGGGUGCUCAAUAGGUACAAGCUAGACAGGAAGACAAUGUUCUGGGGUGUUACUGCAGAUUAGGGUGGCUGCCGUAAUGUGCAGCACUGCUCAAAAAGACAAGAAAGGAACUGGAAUUUCUUAACACAAAGAUGCUUAAGGUAAUAGCUAAUUUUACCCUAAGCUAAACAUUAUACAAGUAAUAUUAAAAUAUCACAUGGUAUCUCCCAAGUAUGUAAAUUGCUUUUAUUCCUCAGCUAAAUAAGUUUAAAGAAAAGAUAAAAAUACAUAAUAGAAUGAACACAUGUGCCAACAAGUGAAAAGAUAAACCCAAAAGAUGUAAUAAUAAACAGAGGCUGAGAUGGGUUAUAAUCGUGAGAUGGUUCUUUAGGAAUAUUUGUCCAUAUGACUUUGGGCCUUCAUGUCCCUUCUAAAAUACAAACGGUUUAGUUUUGAGACAAAGUCUUACUAUGUAGCCCUGGCCGGCCCUAAACUCACAGAGAUCUCUCUGCUUCCCCACUGCUGAGGCUGCAGACAUGAGCCAACAUACCCAGCUAAAAUGUUUUUAAUUUAUGGAAUCCCUUCUCCUAUUUAAUCUAUCUGUUAGCUUAUUGUCUUCAUGGCUGUAGGCCUCUCAUUUUACUCAUUGUCUGUAUUACCUACCUAUGUGAGCCUUGUUUAUUUUGAUGCUCAGAUUUGCUAACAUUCUGGCACAAGAUAUUCCAGGAUGACCUCAAAACUUCCUUACUCUGGUUCUGGAACUAGCUAUUUUCUUACCCGCACGACAAACUUACGGCAAGGUACAUUUGUGUAGACAGAGAGGGGUCAAGCUAAUAAUCCUACAGGAAGCUACAGAAUUAAGUUAACUGUUGCAUUAUGCCACUAAGUUUUGAAGUGUUUUCUUUAACAGUAAUAGAAAAGCAAACCAGAAAUUGAUACUCAAGACAGAAGUCUGGUAUAUAAAAACCUACAAUAUCAGACACCAGCCUUAGAACCAGCCAGAAGAAGCUGGAGCGCUACGAAGGCUGUCUAGCCAGACUGAGAGGCGUACAAGCUGCAGCACUGAGCCAGAGAGGCUGCGUACAAUUCAUAAGGACCAGAAAUAUAUGCCGUGUGACCUGUUUCUUAAGAAAUAUUUGAAAUUAAGAAGAGACCCACCGUAUGAUCAGAUAUACUACUACUUGCACUGACCCAAACCCCUAUAUUCUACUGCAGAGAUAUUUGCACACCCAUGUUCACUGCUGAUUCACAACAACAAAGAACGGAAGCAGCCUACCUAUCCAUCAGGAGAUGAAUGGUAAUGCGAAUGUGACGUACAUGUAAGAUGCAAUGUUAUUCAGCUGUGAAGAAAACAGUAUCAUGAAAUUGCCAGGAAACAAGUGGCCCUGGGAGUGUAUUAAGUCAGGUGGCUCAAACCCAGAAAGAAAAACACCGCACAUUCUCCCUUGAAUGCAACACUGCCUAUACUGGCUAUGGGUAAAGAGGUGAAAGUGUGGGUACAACUCAGAGAGAGCUCUAUUGGGUGAAGAGAGAGGAUGGGAUGCAGACCAAAGGACUCACGGGUCAUGAAAAAGCUAUAAAGGUAUUUUUUUCUCUUUUUAACUCAGUUAUUUCAUAGUAGGUACGUGGGUUCAUCUUUCUGUAUACUAAAGUAGCAAGAACCACUCCUGCCUUCCAAAGACUGCAACAUGCUAAUCAUUUAAGCUAGUGAACAGAAAAGCUGGGCUUCCCUUUUUAUUUCACUAACCGUGCAGUAAGAAUCAGACAUGACUAGUAAUAAGUGUACUUGUCACAUGGCCCCACUUAGAAAAAGUGAUUUUUUUUAAAAACUUGUUUUGAGGGAAGGGUCUUCAAAUAUAUUUUAUUAAUUCUUGAAGUUUUUCAUACUAGCAAACAAUUAAUUUUUAUUAUAAUCAUCCUCCCUACUCCUGGGAGAGAUGUUUCGUAACUUGAAUUUUUCCUGGUUUUCUUCUGUUUAAAACUAUAUAAAGUCGUUCUACUAUAGUGUUAUUUUAUUUUUUUUUUCUUUUUUUUCUUUUUUUCGGAGCUGGGGACGGAACCCAGGGCCUUGUGCUUGCUAGGCAAGCGCUCUACCACUGAGCUAAAUCCCCAACCUAUAGUGAUAUUUUAAUUUAGUUUUUUGUUUGUUUGUUUGCCUUUGAGACAUGGUCUUUCUAUGUUUCCCUGGCUGGCCUGCAACUUACUACGUAGACUGGGCUGGUUCUGAACUUGAAGAGUGUAGAUUAAAGGCAUAUGCCACUACACCUGGUGAUUUUAAACUACUAUACAUUAAAAAACAAACAAACCUGUGGUUUUAAAAUUGUUUAAAAAGAAAGAUGCAACAAUAAGCCGGGUUCCAAAGUUCAAGGUCAUUCUCUAAUCUUAGCUUUGGAAUACUGCUGAUCUUUUGUCUACAGGUUGCUUACGGAGUGUGGGCCUUUAUCAGUGUCUGCCUCACAAGACUGCAAUCCUCCCUGACCACUCAGCCCCCCCUGCGUAGCACAGGAUGACCCUGAACUUCUGACCCUCCUGCCCCUUGUUCCUGAGACUACAGGCUGCACCUCCAUAGGGAGCUGUAGGCCUAUUUUUAACUGUUUAUGACUUUCUGAGGAUAAGCUUGGAGCUCAAAGAACUCAGGUCUUCCUUGAGACCAGCAAGCACUCCUAACUGUUGAGCCAUCUCUCUAGCCUCCAACCUUUUUUUUUUUUUUUUUUUUAAGAUAGGGUUUCUCACAAGGACCUGGGGCUCAUGUUGACCUAGGUGGCUAGGCUGGAGGCCAUUAAGCUCCAGGGUUAUUCCGGUCUGGGCCUUCCCAGCACUUCGAUGAGAUCACAGCUUGAACCACUUUACUCAGAUUUGUACAUUCAUCCUAAGGAUUGAACGUAAGUCCUCACACGUGGGUCAGAUGCGAUAGUUAAUGCUGAUUUUCAAUUUGAUGGGACCUAGAAUCACCUGGUAGACAAGCCCCUGGGCAUGCCUGUGAGGGACUAACUCACAGGUUAACAGAUGUGCGAAGACUUCCCCUCCAUAAAAGAGAGUGAGCUGGACUGUCUUCCCGACGGUGAGCAGCUGACCCGUCACCAUGACAUCUGUCUUGAUGGACUGUACCCUAGAACUAUGAGUCAAAAUAAAGACUUCCUUCCUCAAGCUGCUUUUGUAGGGGAUUCUAAUCCAGCAACAGAAAGAAAGAGAGACAACAGGGUGCACAGCAAACGCUCUGCCCAGUGCACUUGCUCCUGGUUCCUGCUGAAAUGGCAGCCUUUUCUCUCUGGCCGGCUGUUUAAAUUUUCUACUUCUGUUUGAGACUGUGAAGAUUAUAAGUUACAGAAAUAUUUUUGACUGAUAUAAUACAGCUUAGUUCAAAUAAGACAGCAAAAAAAAGUAGAAAAAAAACAUUAGCUACCAUCUUAAAUCUUUAAAGGAAAAUAAUUACACGUGUUUCAGUAGUUUUCUAGCAUUUAGCUUAAGAAGUUGUUAUUUAGUCUCAGAGAACUCUGUAAUUUUGUCUGUUUUCUUUCCCUUUUCAAUUUUGCCCUUUGAUGCAAUCACCACUUUUGACCACUCCUGAGUUGCUUGAAGCAACAUUUUUUUUUUUACAGAUUAGUGUCUGCUUUUCAUAUUGAAGGUGCCUGAGAUCACUAUAUCUUCCUGUCAGAUCAAAUGACUCUCUUUUACCCUAUUCUCCUAUUCAUUCUCCUAAAAGAUAGCAGAACAUUAAUAUGGUAACAUCUGAUAGACAGGAACUACUUAUGUGGUAAAGUAGUCACAUGAACUACUCGACUACUCGAUCCCAGUACUUUCAAUGAACACUUAGGUUCUCUAUGUCCACAGAGGUCAGCUUGACCUCAUUCAGUUGUCCAUAGAGUUCAGACUUCUAGCUAUUCUCUGAGGGCAAGGGCUUAAGACACAAAGGAAACGGGAAUCAAGGGACACAUUCCAAACCUCUCAUUUGGGCAGUACAUACUGCUCUUAGCACAAAUGUCUCCAGAAAGGCAGCUAUUAGGUUUGCUCAACUGACAGUGUACUCAUUUCUGCCACACUCGUAGGGGCUAACCUUCCCCAGUCGGUCAGUCCUAAGUACCAGUGAUACUUAAAUGUGGGGACUUGCUCUCUCACGGUAAUACUUAAAACUCUGAGCUACUGAGUCAUGACAACCUUGUACAUCAAUAUUCACAUCAACAUUAUACACAACAGUAAAAAGUAUAAACACCCCAAAUGUCUGCGGAUGGGUGAGGAAAUGGAGCUUGCUGCCUGGAUGCAACAGAAUACCUUCUCAGCCCCUUCUUUUCAUGCUAGUUUUAAAGACUGGGUCUUCUACAUUGCUCUGGCUGGCCUGGAACUUGAAAGGAAUGUAAUUCUGCUUCAUGGUACAUCAUAGAUACACAAAACUAAGUGAAGCAGGCCAGGUGACAAAGAACAGACCCUGCAGGGCUCUGUGUGCAUGGAUCCCUGAGAACAGUCCAAGUCAGGGUCUUGGUAGAGUGGUUACUAGAAACUGGGGCAGGAGGGGGAAGGGAAUCAAGAGGGUUGGUUUGGUAGAUAAAAUUGUAUCACUUUAGAAUGAUAAAAAUUCUGGGGAUAGACAUAGAGGUGACAACUUGUAUAACAAUGUAUACAUAAAACUAGUUAACGAUAAUAAAUUCGGAAAUGCACAUCUUACAAUAAUAAAAAUAUCAAACAUGUCAAUCAAAGUAGAAAUAUAAUCUGCUUCUUUUUAAUGUAACUCCAGCUCCAGAGGGAUCACAGGCUUCCAAGGGCAUUAAAAAUUUUAAAUUACAGGACUUUUUUUUUUUUUUUUUUUUUUGGUUCUUUUUUUCGAAGCUGGGGACCGAACCCAGGGCCUUGCGCUUCCUAGGUAAGCGCUCGACCACUGAGCUAAAUCCCCAGCCCCACAGGACUUUCUAAUAAUCAUUAUCUUAUGCUUCAGUAAUAAACUGAAAACUCAAAGCUGAACUUUAAUCUCAAAAUUCUGUCUGUGUAACAGAAACUGGCAUGUUUUCCUUUCCAAUCCCAUUGCUCUUCAAGAAAAAAUAUAUUUUAAUAUUAUAUUCAAUCCAGCUCUACAGUUAUGAUAGUAAGAUUUAUUUCUCAAAAUCUCAGUAAGCAGGCCAGGAAAAUCUAGGUUCAUUCCAGUCCAAGAACAAUGUUUUCAGCAGAAUGGUAUUUAGUGAGAAAUGCUAGCACUCAAAAGUCUUGUGUUCUUUAAUAACUGCUUCAGGCCAUCCCACACAGUGACAUCAUCCUUACCAAAUAAGGCCCAUUAUGCAACAGCCACAUACCAUAUCAUCAGGAGCACUCACUACUACUGUGGAUGGAAGGACGAGAGUCUGGGAGUAUGACAACCUCUACACUAGAUGUUUUUUCUAUACUGAGCAACAUAAUGAGAAACAGUAUAUGCAAACUACAAAAAAAACUCACCUUCUAAAAUACACAGACCAAUAUUAAAUCAAAUAUAAACCUAAUUCUCAUGAAGGUCAAGUACUUCAUGGGCCAUAUCAAAGUAGUCUGACCACCAAGAGACUGCUGCCCAUGGGCCUGCUGCAGCCUAUGUCAAACAGAGGAAUAGAGUAUCCGUGCUGAAUGAAGGCUGGGUUUCUCUUUGGAUUUUGGAACAAUAUGGUUUGAGUGUGCUUGCAGGUCCGUGUGUUAGAAACCUGGUCCUGAACUCUCGAUGGAACAUGGUGGGACUUACUGCAAGCUCCUGCUUCCUGACCUGCCUGAGUUCCAGUCCUGACUUCCUUUGGUGAUGAACAGCGAUGUGGAAGUGUAAGCUGAAUAAACUCUUUCCUCCC